CAGUAGCCGCGGGAAUACGGAGGGGGCUAGCGUUGUUCGGAAUUACUGGGCGUAAAGCGCACGUAGGCGGCUUUGUAAGUUAGAGGUGAAAGCCCGGAGCUCAACUCCGGAAUUGCCUUUAAGACUGCAGAGCUAGCAGGUGAGAGAGGUGAGUGGAAUUCCGAGUGUAGAGGUGAAAUUCGUAGAUAUUCGGAAGAACACCAGUGGCGAAGGCGGCUCACUGGCUCAUACUGGACGCUGAGGUGCGAAAGCGUGGGGAGCAAACAGGAUUAGAUACCCCAGUAGUCCCUGUCUCUUAUAA
rnacentral:rRNA from 1 species